rnacentral:lncRNA from 1 species
GGGCAGACUUUAGGAAGUAUAAGGCAGUAGAGAACCAAAACCCUACCCCCACCAGCCACCCUGACACUCAUUCUCAUCCUCUCUUUCUCUCCUAGUCAGCUCUGAGGCUGCACACUCCUCCCUGAGAAAUGACUGUAUUUAAAGGAAACCUAUUGUAUCUACCUGUAGUCCUCAUUGUUUCCAGAAUGAAGUUGUGAUUAUCUUAUUUAUUUUUUGAAUAAUAAAGAUCUCUUAAC